ACGGGUGCGUAACGCGUAGGAAUCUGCCUUGAAGAGGGGGACAACCCGAGGAAACUCGGGCUAAUACCGCAUAAUAUCGAGAGAUCAAAGCUAGGUGGCAACAUCUGGUACUUCAAGAGGAGCCUGCGUCCGAUUAGCUAGUUGGUGGGGUAAAGGCCUACCAAGGCGAUGAUCGGUAGCUGGUCUGAGAGGAUGACCAGCCACACUGGGACUGAGACACGGCCCAGACUCCUACGGGAGGCAGCAGUGGGGAAUAUUGGACAAUGGGGGCAACCCUGAUCCAGCAAUGCCGCGUGUGUGAAGAAGGCCUUCGGGUUGUAAAGCACUUUAGUUGGGGAGGAAGGUGUAUUGUUUAAGAGAUGAUACAUUUGACUGUACCCAAAGAAUAAGCACCGGCUAACUCUGUGCCAGCAGCCGCGGUAAUACAGAGGGUGCGAGCGUUAAUCGGAAUUACUGGGCGUAAAGGGCGCGUAGGCGGUUAUUUAAGUUGGAUGUGAAAUCCCUGGGCUUAACCUAGGAACUGCAUCCGAUACUGGAUAGCUGGAGUGCGGUAGAGGGUAGUGGAAUUUCCGGU
rnacentral:rRNA from 1 species